ensembl:lncRNA
AGUGCUUAUGGACAGAGAGAGAAGGCUGGACCAUGAGUUCUCCUCUGUGUACUUUGGUGUGAGUUCUGGCAGUAUAGCAGCAAGUAUGGCACUGGACAAGCGUCAAGGAAGGGACACAGGAAUUCUCACCUCUGUUGUUCCAUGGCAACAGAGGGGCAGUGCGACACAACGAUGUCUGACAUGGAAGUGCGUACGAAGUAAAGUGCCCUCAGUCUUAUUUGCUGGCCAUUGCGAUUCCUUCAGUGACUCUUUUCCUAGAACCCUUGUCAGUAGCCCUGUCCCUAUAGACUCUUUCCAAUGACCCAAUGCUGUUUACACAUUCCUGCAUGUUGGUUGGUGUUUUCUUUUUGCUGCUGUGUGAUGUCUUUGGCUGACAUUCAGCUUGUGAUGACUCCGGAUCCUGCAAAGCUGCUAAGCAGUUAGUCAUUUCCCAUUCUGUAUUCAUGCAGCUGAAACGAAGAAAUGAAUGUAGAACUUUGCAUCCAAAUUUUGUCAGACCAUUCCUGUUUCUCAGAGCUCAUUCAGGCUCCAACUCCUGUCAUCCAAAGUGCUUCCAGCUCCUCCUGGCCUGGAGUCAGCUGUAAAUUUACAGAGUACACUCUAUUCCAUCAUCCAAGUUAAUAAUGUAAAUAUUGAAUAGCGUCAGUCACCAGACAGACUCUUGGGAAACCCCUCUCAGUGCACCCUUUUAAUGUGCUGGUGAACCAUUGAUCACUAACUUCUUAGCACAGCAUUCUGGCCAGUUUUGCAUCCACCCUAUGGCUGCUCUUUUGUUACUGUUCUGUGGUUGGGGCUGUUCCUGUAAGCACCUGCUCUUCUGUCAAAAAAGUGUUUGUGUUUUUCCCCCCCCCGGUAUUUUCCUGCUGGUAACCCUGGGGAACAGUGGCCAGACAGGCGGUGAGCGCACAGCAUCUGAGGAGUUCCUCUGAGCCCUCAGACAGCAAUUAGCACAGGAUGAAAAGUUGGGGUACCCACAGGCAAUUUCUCUUUUCAUUCUGUCAUUUCUCUUCUAUUCAGUGUUCUGAAGAAAUGCCCUCUGUGCUUAUGCAUUUUUUUCUUAUAAUGCUCUUGUGUCCCUCAGAGGAAAGAGAAUAUUUAUUUGAUGGUGAGCUAAUGUUAAACACUGUGUUUUUUUUUUUACCCCCCAAUACUAGGGGACUAUUUCCCUAAUAUUGACAUUUUAAUACUAUAUAUAAUAUCAAGAAAGAAUGUAAAUAAAA